rnacentral:rRNA from 1 species
GUACGCUGGCGGCACGCCUAACACAUGCAAGUCGAACGAAGUAGCAAUACUUAGUGGCAGACGGGUGAGUAACAUGUAGGUAUCUGCCCUUUGGCCUGGAAUAACACGAGGAAACUUGUGCUAAUACCGGAUAAGUCUUUACGGAGAAAGCUUUAUGCACCAUUGGAUGAGCCUGCACUUGAUUAGUUUGUUGGUAGGGUAAUGGCCUACCAAGACUGUGAUCAAUAGCUGAUUUGAGAGGAUGAUCAGCCACAUUGGGACUGAGACACGGCCCAAACUCCUACGGGAGGCAGCAGUGGGGAAUCUUGCACAAUGGAGGAAACUCUGAUGCAGCGAUGCCGCGUGAGUGAAGAAGGCCCUUGGGUUGUAAAGCUCUUUCGUCGGGGAAGAAAAUGACUGUACCCGAAUAAGAAGGUCCGGCUAACUUCGUGCCAGCAGCCGCGGUAAUACGAAGGGACCUAGCGUAGUUCGGAAUUACUGGGCUUAAAGAGUUCGUAGGUGGUUGAAAUAGUUGGUGGUGAAAUCCCAGAGCUUAACUCUGGAACUGCCAUCAAAACUUUUCAGCUAGAGUAUGAUAGAGGAAAGCAGAAUUUUCUAGUGUANAGGUGAAAUUCGUAAAUAUUAG